GUCAUAAUUUCAAAAUGUCUGAAAUUCGCUGGCUGCUGCUGUAAGUCAACUUUUAAGCAUAUUUACAUGUAAAUAAGGUGCAAUGUUAGAAGUGACAGUAAUGCAGAAUACCUACAGACCUUGAAGAGAAAUGAAGAGAUACAGCCCUAAAUUGUUCAACAUGGUGUGUGUGGGAAACAUAGUGGACAGAAAGCAUGUGACAAAAAAUGAAAAGAAAAGGCGGUGUUGAAUGGUAUGCAGUGAGUGCAAGUCAUCUGAAGUCAGGGACCAUCGUAUUGCAGCAUUCCAGAAAGCAGUCUACAGAAUACCAUACUUUCGUUUUCAAGUAACAGCGUGAAAACAUGCAAAUAUAAAGUGUGAAGUAACAGUAGCACAGAAUGGCUGGAGACCAUUAACUUGAGAACUGAAGAGAUGCAGGUCUUUGUUCUAUAUGGUGAUUGAUGGAACUAUGGUGCAGUUUUGAAUUUAUAAGGUGUGAAGUUACAGAAAAGCAGAAUAGCUACAGACCAUUAAAUUUAGAAAAUGAAGAGAUGCAUGUCUCUGUUCAGCAUGGUGUUUAUGGGAAACAUUGUAGGUCACAGACCUCUGUUCAGCAUGGUGUAUAUGGGAAACAUUGUGGGUCACAGACAUGAAAUGGUUUGGUAAGUUAUCACAC